CGCCGUCAAACGAAUUGCGGAAACGGAACGGGAGGUUCGCGCGUAAUGCCCAUUUGAAAGUUUUGUGAAGGGAUGUUGAAGUGGUUGGUCAGUUUCCAAAUAACUGGAUUAAGAUUUUAGCUCUUUGUGUUAAGUCAAAGGAUCUCGAAAUGACACCAACCGAACCACGGAGCAAGGUGCACGUCCUUUAAAUUAAAUUCAAAUUAAUUUAAUCCAAAUCUGCAUUCAAGAACUGGGGUGUAUAUCCAUUUUAAUGCAAACUCCGGACUUAACACACCGGUGUUAAGCAAACAAUACUGGUUCAUUCCCGAAGCAGUAUAAGGGACUCCGUAUCGCUGUCCUGAGUCAAUAUUGAAUGGGUCAGAUUUACCCGAAUGUUAUACAUUAUCUAAGUUUGUGGUAGAACCAUACAAGUUUGAAUAGGUCAAGAUGUUGAAGUGUGUGUGUAUGUUGUAGACAUGUUUAGACAACUUGCUACGUUGGUAAAAUAGUGAACUGAUACAAUGGUACUUCUUGUGUUAAUCAGUGUCUGGGUUGCUGCAGUUUCAGGAGGUUUACCUCCCGUUAUUAGAAUAGGCGCAAUUUUUACUGAGGAUCAGAAAAAUAGCAGCGUGGAACUAGCAUUUAAAUAUGCGGUAUAUAAAAUAAACAAGGAGAGAGAAAUGCUUCCAAAUACCACGUUGGUUUAUGACAUCCAGUACGUGCCCAGAGAUGACAGCUUUAGAACUUCGAAAAAAGCAUGUAGACAAAUGGAGUUUGGGGUGCAGGCCAUCUUUGGUCCAUCAGAUCCAAUAUUAGGAGCUCACAUUCAAAGUAUUUGUGAAGCAUUAGAUGUUCCCCAUAUAGAAGCAAGGGUAGAUUUUGAGCCAGUAUCAAAACAGCUGAGCAUUAAUCUGCAUCCUAGCCAGGAAAAUAUGAAUAAAGCAUUUAAGGAUCUUAUGGCCUUUCUUAAUUGGACCAAAGUAGCUAUUAUCUAUGAAGAGGAUUAUGGCCUUUUUAAACUUCAAGAACUGGUAAAGGCACCAGGAAUAGUAAAGACGGAGAUGUAUAUAAGACAAGCAAGUCCCUCCAGUUACAGGCAGGUGUUACGUGAGGUUAGGCAAAAGGAAAUUUUCAAGCUAAUCGUGGAUACGAAUCCGAAAAAUAUUCAAAAAUUUUUUAGAGCGAUUUUGCAGCUACAAAUGAAUGACUACCGAUAUCACUACAUGUUCACAACAUUUGAUUUAGAGACAUUUGAUCUUGAAGACUUUAAGUACAAUUCUGUUAACAUUACUGCAUUCCGAUUGGUGGAUGUAGAUCACCCUAAAGUGAAAGAGAUAUUAGCUGCUAUGCAAAAGUUUCAGCCUAUAGGACAUGCUAUUUUAAAUGGAACAGGAAUUAUACAGGCCGAACCAGCGUUAAUGUACGACAGUGUUUACGUGUUUGCAAAAGGUUUAGCUACCCUAGACUCAGGGCACUCUAUAAGGCCAACAAAUUUGUCUUGCGAUAUUGAGAAACCUUGGGAUGAUGGGCUUUCCCUUUAUAAUUAUUUAGAUUCUGUGUCAAAACUGCAUGGAUUGACCGGCAACUUGGAAUUCCAAGAGGGUAAAAGAUCAAAUUUUAAAGUAGAUCUUUUAAAACUAAAGAAAGAGGAUAUUAAGAAAGUUGGAACCUGGAGCAUGGCCGAUGGAAUAAAUAUUACAGAUCCAAAUGCUUUUUAUGAUCAAAAUGCUCCUAAUAUUACAUUAAUAGUUAUGACACGAGAGGAAAAACCAUACGUUAUGUUAAAAGAAGAUCAGAACUUAACUGGUAAUGCACGUUAUGAAGGUUUUUGUAUAGACCUAUUAAAAUGGAUCGCAGGGCAAGUUGGUUUUCAAUAUAGCAUUCGAUUAGUGCCUGAUAAUAUGUAUGGUGUUUAUAAUCCAGAUACUAAGCAGUGGAAUGGAAUUGUUAGGGAACUAAUGGAAAAGAGAGCUGACCUAGCGGUUGCAUCGAUGACAAUAAACUACGCUAGGGAAAGUGUCAUUGAUUUUACUAAGCCAUUUAUGAAUCUAGGAAUUGGAAUAUUAUUUAAGGUUCCCACAAGCCAACCUACCCGAUUAUUCAGUUUCAUGAACCCCCUGGCAGUAGAAAUCUGGAUUUACGUAUUAGCCGCGUAUCUGUUAGUUUCUUUUACCCUGUUCGUAAUGGCACGAUUUUCACCGUACGAAUGGAAUAACCCGCACCCAUGUCACCAGGACUCCGAUAUAGUGGAAAACCAGUUUUCGGUGUCGAACAGUUUUUGGUUUAUCACUGGCACGUUUUUGAGACAGGGCUCUGGAUUAAAUCCAAAGGUUUACAAAAGAGUCCCAUCAAAUCUCUUUUCAUUUCUAACUCCCUUGGCAAUCGAAAUAUGGAUUUUCAUGGUAGCAGCGUAUAUUCUUGUAUCCUUAACUAUAUGGAUAGUAGCCCGUUUUUCACCAAUGGAAUGGAAAGAAAUGGAAUUAUGCGAUGACUGUCUACUAAAAAAAUAUAAAGAUUUACAUCAAAAAGAACAUUGUGAACAUACACUUAUGCUAACUGCUAGCGGUAGUGAUUUAUCUUCCGGAAUAGGUAGUGACAGAGAUGAAGAUGAAACUGAAACAGAGGAUGAUUUGGAUUUAAAGUAUCAAGAAACCAGGACGUUCCUUCCCGAUGACCACUACCAUGAGGAAAUAUCUACACUUGACGUAUUGGAAAAUGGAUUUACUAUAGGAAAUAGUUUUUGGUUUGCUAUUGGAAGUCUAAUGCAGCAAGGUUCUGAUUUAAAUCCCAAGGCUACUUCAACGAGAAUUCCAAUUUGGCAGCAUUUUUAACAGUAGAAAGGAUGAUAACUCCUAUCGAAAAUGCUCAAGAUUUGGCUGAUCAGACUGAAAUAUCUUAUGGAACAUUGGAAGGUGGAAGCACCAUGACGUUUUUCAGAGAUUCAAAAAUAGGCAUUUAUCAAAAAAUGUGGCGUUUCAUGGAAAAUCGGAGGCCACCGGUUUUCGUAAAAUCAUACGAGGAUGGAAUAGCCAGAGUUUUACAGGGAAAUUAUGCCUUCCUAAUGGAAUCCACAAUGUUAGACUAUGC
rnacentral:misc_RNA from 1 species